rnacentral:rRNA from 1 species
AUUGAACGCUGGCGGCAGGCCUAACACAUGCAAGUCGGACGGUAGCACAGAGGAGCUUGCUCCUCGGGUGACGAGUGGCGGACGGGUGAGUAAUGUCUGGGGAUCUGCCCGAUAGAGGGGGAUAACCACUGGAAACGGUGGCUAAUACCGCAUAACGUCGCAAGACCAAAGAGGGGGACCGUCGGGCCUCUCCCUACCGGAUGAACCCAAAUGGGAUUAGCGAGUAGGCGGGGGAACGGCCCACCUAGGCGACGAUCCCUAAGCUGGUCUGGGAGGAUGACCAGCCACACUGGAACUGAGACACGGUCCAGACUCCUACGGGAGGCAGCAGUGGGGAAUAUUGCACAAUGGGCGCAAGCCUGAUGCAGCCAUGCCGCGUGUAUGAAGAAGGCCUUCGGGUUGUAAAGUACUUUCAGCGGGGAGGAAGGCGAUGUGGUUAAUAACCGCGUCGAUUGACGUUACCCGCAGAAGAAGCACCGGCUAACUCCGUGCCAGCCGCCGCGGUAACAC